UGGGGAAUAUUGCACAAUGGGCGCAAGCCUGAUGCAGCCAUGCCGCGUGUAUGAAGAAGGCCUUCGGGUUGUAAAGUACUUUCAGCGGGGAGGAAGGCGAUAAGGUUAAUAACCUUGUCGAUUGACGUUACCCGCAGAAGAAGCACCGGCUAACUCCGUGCCAGCAGCCGCGGUAAUACGGAGGGUGCAAGCGUUAAUCGGAAUUACUGGGCGUAAAGCGCACGCAGGCGGUCUGUCAAGUCGGAUGUGAAAUCCCCGGGCUCAACCUGGGAACUGCAUUCGAAACUGGCAGGCUAGAGUCUUGUAGAGGGGGGUAGAAUUCCAGGUGUAGCGGUGAAAUGCGUAGAGAUCUGGAGGAAUACCGGUGGCGAAGGCGGCCCCCUGGACAAAGACUGA
rnacentral:rRNA from 1 species